GGAUUUGUGGAGAUUGGAAUGACACUACGUUCGCAACGUAGAGGCUCCGGGUUCAACUCCCGGCGAGUCCA
rnacentral:tRNA from 1 species